rnacentral:rRNA from 1 species
GACGAACGCUGGCGGCGUGCUUAACACAUGCCAGUCGAACGGAAAGGCCCUGCUUGCAGGGUGCUCGAGUGGCGAACGGGUGAGUAACACGUGGGUGAUCUGCCCCUUACUUUGGGAUAAGCCUGGGAAACUGGGUCUAAUACUGGAUAGGACCAUGCUGUAGGUGGUGUGGUGGAAAGAUUAGUUUCGGUAAGGGAUGAGCUCGCGGCCUAUCAGCUUGUUGGUGGGGUAAUGGCCUACCAAGGCGUCGACGGGUAGCCGGCCUGAGAGGGUGGACGGCCACAUUGGGACUGAGAUACGGCCCAGACUCCUACGGGAGGCAGCAGUGGGGAAUAGUGCACAAUGGGCGCAAGCCUGAUGCAGCGACGCCGCGUGGGGGAUGACGGCCUUCGGGUUGUAAACUCCUUUCAGCCAUGACGAAGCCCUUGUGGUGACGGUAGUGGUAGAAGAAGCACCGGCUAACUACGUG